rnacentral:rRNA from 1 species
GACGAACGCUGGCGGUGUGCUUAACACAUGCAAGUCGAACGGUAAGGCCCUUUCGGGGGUACACGAGUGGCGAACGGGUGCGUAACACGUGAGUAACCUGCCCUCAUCUCUGGGAUAACAGUCGGAAACGGUUGCUAAUACUGGAUAUGAGCUUGCAAGGCAUCUUGUGGGUUGGAAAGAUUUUUUUUGGUUGGGGAUGGACUCGCGGCCUAUCAGCUUGUUGGUGAGGUAGUGGCUCACCAAGGCUUCGACGGGUAGCCGGCCUGAGAGGGCGACCGGCCACAUUGGGACUGAGAUACGGCCCAAACUCCUACGGGAGGCAGCAGUGGGGAAUAUUGAACAAUGGACGGCAGUCUGAUGCAGCAACGCCGCGUGCGGGAUGACGGCCUUCGGGUUGUAAACCGCUUUCAAUUGUGAAGAAGCUUUUUUGUGACGGUAGCAGUAGAAGAAGCACCGGCUAACUACGUG